rnacentral:rRNA from 1 species
UACGUAGGGUGCGAGCGUUAAUCGGAAUUACUGGGCGUAAAGCGUGCGCAGGCGGUUUGUUAAGACAGGUGUGAAAUCCCCGGGCUCAACCUGGGAAUGGCGCUUGAUACUGGCAGGCUAGAGUGUGUCAGAGGGAAGUAGAAUUCCACGUGUAGCAGUGAAAUGCGUAGAGAUGUGGAGGAAUACCGAUGGCGAAGGCAGCCUCCUGGGAUAACACUGACGCUCAUGCACGAAAGCGUGGGGAGCAAACAGG